rnacentral:ncRNA from 2 species
UGUGAAGCAGAAUUCACCAAG